GGGGUGGAGCAGCUCGGUAGCUCGCUGGGCUCAUGACCCAGAGGUUUUCACCUCGUCAAUUCCAUACUUUGCAUAGCCCCUGACCA
rnacentral:tRNA from 1 species